ensembl:lncRNA
GUGAUGAUGGAGGAGAUGACGUCACUCUGCUCUGUAAAACAAAGACCACUCCCUCCAACCUCCCAGCUGCUUUCUAUAAAGAUGGCUCCCUCAUCAGGAAGCAGCCUACAGGUCACAUGACCAUCCAGCAUGUUUCCAGGUCUGAUGAAGGCCUCUACAAGUGUGACAUCAGCGGUCAUGGAGAGUCUCCAUCCACCUGGAUCACUGUCACAGAAAAACAUAUAACCACGCCCCCUGACUCGUCCUUACUCCACUUUGUGAUUAGACUGAUCUUCCACCUGGUGAUGUUCUGUCCAUACGUCAUCUCCACUCUCCUCGUGGUGUCGUUGUAUCGAAAGAGAGCCAAAGGAAAAAACAUCCGUGUCUCAAUCCUGCCCAUUCAGCCUGAGCAGGGACUGGACGAUGAGCAUUAUGAUGUAAUCUCUGAUGUCACCACAGAGUAUCACUUCUGAAUCAGAGCUUUGGUGCUUCUCUUUAGGUCUCACUAACUUUGUCCUCUCCACCUCUGUUGUGAAUCUUAUCUGAAUAAAAGGACUCUGAUGUUCAUCUCUGGAUAUUUUUAUGUAGAUAAACAACAAAUGUUCCCAAGAAAAUCUGCUGGAGCUCUCAAUAGAAAUUAUAUUGACUUAUGAUUUUAUGUCCCACACUCAGUCACUACAACCAAUUUUAGGGUUCCUCCACCUGCUGAAUCCACUUUAACCUCUGACUGUGCACAUUUUACUGUUUGCAGGCAAAGUCACCGUCUACAAUGUCGGUGACUGAAAAUAAAGAUAUAGCUUUUAUUUUCCUUGUUUUCCUUCAGAUUCAAGCUUAGUAUGAUUAAAAUUAAAAGAAGUCAGACUUAAAUUUGUACUCUCAUCCCCUAUAUUAUUUUAUUAUUAUGUUAACAUAGCUCAAAGUUCAGUUAGCUUUGAAGAAAAACAGAAAAGUCCUAAAAAGAGCUACUUUAUACUUUCUUACUUUGAGUACAUUUCAGAGCCUGCACUUUUCUACUUGAGUAAGGAACUUGAAUCAGUACUUCAACUUUUACUGGAAUAUUUUUUACAGGAGUAUUUGUACUUGUACUUAAGUACAGAAUGUCUGUACUUUUGCCAACUCUGCUUGGUCUGAGCAGGAGCUCAUCAGAUUGAACUAACUGGUGUCCUAUUCUUAAUGUUUCUGACUAAAUUCAGAAACAUUAAGGUUGUUGCUGCUGUGCACUCACAGAUACUGAUGGUCUGAUGAAGGCCUCUACAAGUGUGACAUCAGCGGUCAUGGAGAGUCUCCAUCCAGCUGGAUCACUGUCACAGAUCUGACCUCUGACUCCUCCUUACUGCUUGUGAUCAGAGUGGUCCUCCAUCUGGUGGUGUUCUGUCCAUACUUCAUCUCCACUCUCCUCGUGGUGUCUUUAUAUUGACAUUAAAUAUUCAUAUCGAUAAAUUAAUAUGCUGAUGAUUAACUCUAUGUAUCUGAACUCUUGAUCAAUAAACGGCUGACACAGUUCUUACAUUUCUGCAGAAAAUGUGCUUCAGUAAUUCCCUCUCAGCCUGAGCAGGGAUUGGAUGAGGAGUGUGAUGAUGUAAUCACUGAUAUCACAACAGAGCAUCACUUCUGAAACAACCUUCUGUUGUGUCCUUGUGGGUCUAACUAACUUCUUCACUUCUGGUAUGUAGGUCAUCUGAAUAGAAGGACUGAUGUUUAUCUCUGGAUAUUUUUUACAUAGAUAAUCAGCAAAUAUUCAUCCAUAGAGGAGAAUAUCCUUAAAGCACUGUGUGUUUAAUACUAAUGCUGUCUAACUUCAGAUAAUAUAUAGGAGCAAAAUUUAACACACUAAUAUUACAUCCUGUUUUUUUAGAGCUUUCCUUUUUUCACCUACUUACCCAUUUGCUGAGUGGAGUAACUGGACUCUUGAUAUGUUUAGUCUUCCUCAUCUAUUAAAAAUCUACACAUGUACAUUCAUUUUUCCUCACACAUUUUUCUUGUUAAAAAAACCAUCUCAUUAAAUAGGGUUAACUUCUUAAACUCACUCAGUCACAUUGCUUUUUGAAGAGUGUAAAUCUAUAAA